UAGGAAGGCCUAGAUCUAGGAGAGAGU
rnacentral:piRNA from 1 species